AUGAUUGUUUGUGGUUCAUAUGAUAUCAUUACUGUGUCUGUGUAUACUGAUAAACUAAUUGUGCACGUCCCCUUUAAGAGUUACUGCAGAUCGGUGUGAGUUUUUUUUUUUUUGUCUCCUGCAGGUUUUAAGGCUAAUAUAGAGUAAAUAACCACUGACAAAGUGUGUUAAAGCGCCUGUAUUUGGCUGACUGAGUGUUAUUACUACUUUUAUUUAUUUUAUUUGUGUAUAUAAUCUGUACAAGAGUAAAGUUUACGAGUUGUUUCUUCUGAGUGCUGCACAGAGCAGCCGAAGCUACGCUAAUUCUCGUGACUAUCUGACUGCUUUCCUACAGUCCAACAUUGCGUUUAGUUUAGUUAACGAUGUGACUGGGAGGAAUUCAUGGACCAGUUGGGACUUACCUCGGACGUUGCUAUGGAGUAUCGUUGCUAUGGCGAUAAAGGAUCGCUGCUGUUCGGUAGAUGAGGGACUACAGAAAGAUGUACAGCUUCAGAGGAGGGAAUUUCGUGUUCCAGCCGCCUGGGAAUCCGUUCAGUUUGGCGUUGAUCUGAUUAUGCCGUAAGGAGGGAUUUGGGCGGUGUUGUCGCCAGUCUGGCCGGCGUUUUCCCAGUUGGGUCAAAGGUCCUGAGCCGGAGCACCAGCUUGAUGAUCGACCCCGCCCGGAUGUUGUAGUCGGUCACGUUGUGACCGUCAUCCAGGACAGUUUCGCCCAUGAGCAGCCACUGGUGCUCCGGGGGAAUCCCUUGUAGGUCCUGGAUCCUUUGCUUGACCCUUAGGAAGGUGUCUCCCCCUUCAACACCGAGAUCGAAAGAUACCUCAGUGAGGGUUUUCACAAGAACUAAGAAAUCUGCCAUUGUAAUCUAUAUGGGAAAAUGAUAAUAAUUAGAAUUAGACACUACAUUAAUAUACUACAAGUAUAUAAUAAUAUUAUAAUAUAAUAUAAACUAAGACACUACAAAUAAUAUAAAUAUAAUUUCCUCUGAGGAAUAAAAAUUACUUACAUUCUGCUGCCGAAAUUGAAUUUGAAAUGCGCACUUGGUUCAUGUGACUUAAUUUUAUACAUUACUUACGCCUGUGCUGUCAUUCUGCCACAAUAAGAAACGCCCUGGUGACCUACAGCUCUUGUGUAAUUGGUCAGAUCAGCGGCGCUCGUGCCUAGUUAAACGUCAAAUCAGUGACUGUUAAGAUUACCUCAGAAAACGCGGGAAAGUCCAUCUGAAAUGUUUAUAACAUAUUAAUUAAAUCACAUUUAUUACUAAUUAUAAGUAAAAA